AAAACGACUCUCGGCAACGGAUAUCUCGGCUCUCGCAUCGAUGAAGAACGUAGCGAACUGCGAUACUUGGUGUGAAUUGCAGAAUCCCGUGAACCAUCGAGUCUUUGAACGCAAGUUGCGCCCGAAGCCUGUUGGCCGAGGGCACGUCUGCCUGGGCGUCACGC
rnacentral:rRNA from 3 species